AACUUCACACAAAUUAUACAGUCUGCAAUGCUGGUAACAUGCAGUCUCCCAUUAAUAUUGAUGACUCCACUGUUAAGGUUACCUCCAAAUUUGGGAGUUGAUUCGACGUUACAAAUCGUCUGAGGCUAUAAUCAUCAACAAAGGCCAUGCUCUUCAGAUCCAGUGGACAGGUGAUGCCGGAAAGAUUAUCAUUAACGGUACCGAUUACUUCAUGUUACAAUGCCACUGGCAUACUCCCUCUGAGAACACUGUGAACGGCAAAAAGGUUGAUAUGGAGAUUCAUCUGGUUCAUAGGAGUGCAAAAGAUGAAUUUGCUGCUGUCUCCAUCUUAUACAAAAUAGGAAAACCUGAUAUAAGUUCCUUGGACAAUUGCUGAACAGCAUCAGGCAAGUUGAUCGCAAUGGUAAAGCUUUAGGCGCCCUUAAUCCAGGAAAGAUCACAUAUGAGGG